rnacentral:rRNA from 1 species
UCGAGGAUCUUUGGCAAUGAGCGCAAGCUUGACCAAGCGACGCCGCGUGUGCGAUGAAGGCCUUCGGGUUGUAAAGCACUGUCGAGGGGGAUCAAGGGAAACUUGAGUGAUCCCUGGAGGAAGCACGGGCUAAGUUCGUGCCAGCAGCCGCGGUAAGACGAACCGUGCGAACGUUGUUCGGAAUCACUGGGCUUAAAGGGCGCGUAGGCGGCUUGCCAAGUCAGGGGUGAAAUCUUUCGGCUCAACCGGAAAAGUGCCUUUGAUACUGGCGAGCUCGAGGGAGGUAGGGGUGUGUGGAACUUCCGGUGGAGCGGUGAAAUGCGUUGAUAUCGGAAGGAACGCCGGUGGCGAAAGCGACGCACUGGACCUCUUCUGACGCUGAGGCGCGAAAGCUAGGGGAGCAAACGG